UCACCAAACAUUGCUCCUAUUCUCUCUGCUAGCUACCUGAUGUGAUUUUUGAACAUGAUGUGUGCAGGUCUGAGGAAGAAGAGAAGAAGUAUCAAGACACCAAGGAUCUGAAGGCAGCGAGAAUUAAUGAAAAGAAAACUACUGUUCCAGCUCAUUAGCUCUACAACUACUGAUUAAGCAUCUCCAGAUUCAAGAGGAUAGGGCUUUGAAGGUAUCAUUUUGUGCUAUUGAUGAUAAUCCACUGCAUUACAAUGAAUCUGUGUUGUAGAAGAUUUAGCUGAUCUGGUUAUGUACAUUUCGAACAAGGAUUUGAAGAGGUUGCACAUGUUCUGUUUCAGGUACUUAUAGCAAAUCUGCACUACCGUCUAAAGUCUACACUUCGAUACUUUCGCUAAGGCAUUACCUGUUUUCUAUCUCUUUAGCAGAACUGAAGCUUUCAUCACCAGAAAUGUGUCCUCUCUUAUUUUUUUU